UUCAAUGCAUUUCUUGUCAAACAAAUCACUGAGAAAAUUUCUGAAAUGCAUUGACGUUUUCCGAUCUCAGAAAGCGAUAAAUUAGUACUUAAGCUGUCACACUAAAAAACAAAAUCUUAACUGCCUGGAUGCUGGCUGAAAAAACCAGGCCUUAUCUCUUUUGUGCACUAAAUGCUCUUGGCCUUUAUUCGACUCGUCUCGUCAGUGGAGCACAGCCUGAACAACAUUAAUCAGGAUUACCUUGUCGUGUAUUUUUGCCCACCUACAAACAACCCACACACAUGUCUGAAUACCAAGGAUGAAAGGAAUUAUCCGGAGAGCUGGAAAACUGCAGAGCUGAAGUACGAGUAGCAACAGCUGCCACAUUGACGAUGCUUAAAGUGCAAAUGCAAUUUAUUCGCAACAAGCACUUGGUGCACGUGCAACAAUGGCAGGCCCAGGCAUUGGGAUUGCCUGGGCUGCGGAACAAUUUGCCCAUAAUUUCCGACUUCCCCUCGGCUAUCUGCUAUCUCCAUUCUCUCUUGCAGACUGGGGACAUUAGAGAAUGUUAAGUGAUGGGCAGCAGAACUGGAGUUUGGCAUACGGACCUCGGACAUACCUGAAAACCAGUCGACCAGGAGCAAGCUGAAUCCAUGCAGGAUGCAAGGUUGGACGCUCGCUACACACUCACUCGCUCCAAGAAUGCCAGUCAACGUUGACAAUCGACUUUUAUUGCUGUUGAAAAGGACCAAGAGCAGGGCAAAAAACAAGAGAUCGGAAAAAUCCGGAACGAGGCGAAAAAGAAACGCAUGGAUGCGCUGCAAGAAAACUUUCCAGCUCUAUAAAUUAAAAAGACAAAAAGAUUAUUUCUUUACAGAUACAAAAAUAUUCGUAAUAAUGUUUUAGAACUUAAACUUAUAAAAAUGAAUAUCAUAUACUUAA